rnacentral:rRNA from 1 species
CCCUUAGAUGUUCUGGGCUGCACACGUGCUACACUGGCAGGUUCAGCGAGCUUCAUGCCCUGAUCUGAAAGGAAUGGGAAAUCUUUUCAAAACCUGCCGUGCUUGGGAUAGAUGUUUGCAAUUAUUCAUCUUCAACGAGGAUUGCCUUGUAAGCGCACGUCAUCAGCGUGCAUUGAAUACGACCCUGUAUUCUGUACACACCGCCCGUCGCUCCUACCGAUUGAAGUUUUCGGUGAGUUGACAGGAGGAUUUUUUUGAAACUGGUUCGCCAGUGGAUUUUAGAUCCAAAUGCCAACGAAUCGAUGGCUUUGGAGGAAGGAGAAGUCGUAACA